rnacentral:rRNA from 1 species
UACAGGGGUGCAAACGUUGCUCGGAAUCACUGGGCGUAAAGGGUGCGUAGGUGGCGUGGUAAGUCAGAUGUGAAAGCCCGGGGCUCAACCUCGGAACUGCAUCCGAUACUGCCAUGCUAGAGAACUGAAGAGGAGUGUAGAAUUCUCGGUGUAGCAGUGAAAUGCGUAGAUAUCGAGAGAAUACCAACGGCGAAGGCAGCACUCUGGGCAGUUCUGACACUGAGGCACGAAGGCUAGGGGAG